UUCUGAAUAUGUACAAGAACAAGUCCAUCAAGCCCAAACUACUCAUAGAUCAGAGAACAACCCCUAUUCUAGUACGUAUAAUCCAGGAUGGAGAAACCAUCCGAAUUUCUCAUGGAAAUCACAACCAGUGGUUCCUCCAGUGCAACAAAGAUCAGGUUAUCUGGAUGCGACUUAUAGGCAUCCAUCCCAGCUACAAUACC
rnacentral:lncRNA from 1 species